rnacentral:rRNA from 1 species
GUGGGGAAUUUUGGACAAUGGGCGCAAGCCUGAUCCAGCAAUGCCGCGUGCAGGAAGAAGGCCUUCGGGUUGUAAACUGCUUUUGUACGGAACGAAACGGUCCGGGUUAAUACCCUGGGCUAAUGACGGUACCGUAAGAAUAAGCACCGGCUAACUACGUGCCAGCAGCCGCGGUAAUACGUAGGGUGCAAGCGUUAAUCGGAAUUACUGGGCGUAAAGCGUGCGCAGGCGGUUUUGUAAGACAGGCGUGAAAUCCCCGGGCUCAACCUGGGAAUUGCGCUUGUGACUGCAAGGCUGGAGUGCGGAAGAGGGGGAUGGAAUUCCGCGUGUAGCAGUGAAAUGCGUAGAUAUGCGGAGGAACACCGAUGGCGAAGGCAAUCCCCUGGGCCUGCACUGACGCUCAUGCACGAAAGCGUGGGGAGCAAACAGGAUUAGAAACCCGGGUAGUCC